AGGAGUGUGUAACAACUCAC
rnacentral:ncRNA from 3 species